rnacentral:misc_RNA from 1 species
UCCGGCUUAACGCCGGCAGUCUCCCUAGAGUGCCCAACUGAAUGGUGGCAACUAAGGACAAGGGUUGCGCUCGUUGCGGGACUUAACCCAACAUCUCACGACACGAGCUGACGGCAGCCAUGCAGCACCUGUGCACGAUCUCCGAAGAGGGGCUCUCGUUUCUGAGAGCUUGCUCGUGCAUGUCAAGCCUAGGUAAGGUUCUUCGCGUUGCAUCGAAUUAAACCACAUGCUCCACCGCUUGUGCGGGCCCCCGUCAAUUCCUUUGAGUUUUAACCUUGCGGCCGUACUCCCCAGGCGGUGUGCUUAAAGCGUUAGCGGCGACACCGAAAGACUAGGUCCUCCAGCGUCUAGCACACAUCGUUUACAGCGUGGACUAC